AACGAACGCUGGCGGCGUGGAUAAGACAUGCAAGUCGAACGGGAUUUUUUCCUGUAGCAAUACAGGAAAAAGUCUAGUGGCGAACGGGUGCGUAACACGUGGGCAACCUGCCGUGAAGUGGGGGAUAGCUCGCCGAAAGGCGAAUUAAUACCGCAUGUGGCCAAGGAAGACAUCUUCCUGACGCCAAAGCCGGGGCAACCUGGCGCUUCUCGAGGGGCGCGCGGCCGAUCAGCUUGUCGGUGAGGUAACGGCUCACCAAGGCUAUGACGGGUAGCUGGUCUGAGAGGACGACCAGCCACACUGGAACUGAGACACGGUCCAGACACCUACGGGUGGCAGCAGUCGAGAAUUUUUCACAAUGGGGGAAACCCUGAUGGAGCGACGCCGCGUGGAGGAUGAAGGUUUUCGGAUUGUAAACUCCCGUCAUUAGAGAACAAGGCACACGGUUUAACUGGCCGUGUGUUGAUAGUAUCCGAAGAGGAAGAGACGGCUAACUCUGUGCCAGCAGCCGCCGUAA
rnacentral:rRNA from 1 species